rnacentral:rRNA from 1 species
CCUACGGGAGGCAGCAGUGGGGAAUAUUGGGCAAUGGGCGCAAGCCUGACCCAGCAACGCCGCGUGAAGGAAGAAGGUUUUCGGGUUGUAAACUUCCUUUAAGAGGGAAGAGAAGAAGACGGUACCUCUUGAAUAAGCUAUGGCUAACUACGUGCCAGCAGCCGCGGUCAUACGAAGGUGGCAAGCGUUGUCCGGAUUUACUGGGUGUAAAGGGCGUGCAGCCGGGCUGACAAGUCAGCUGUGAAAUCCCGGGGCUCAACCGCGGAACUGCAUUUGAAACUGUCAGUCUUGAGUACCGGAGAGGUACGCGGAAUGCCUUGUGUAGCGGUGAAAUGCGUAGAUAUAGGGAAGAACACCGGUGGCGAAGGCGGCAGGCUGGAC